CUACCAUGCAAGUCGAACGAUGAACCGCUUUCGGGCGGGGAUUAGUGGCGAACGGGUGAGUAACACGUGGGCAAUCUGCCCUGCACUCUGGGACAAGCCCUGGAAACGGGGUCUAAUACCGGAUAUGACUGUCCGCCGCAUGGUGGAUGGUGUAAAGCUCCGGCGGUGCAGGAUGAGCCCGCGGCCUAUCAGCUUGUUGGUGAGGUAGUGGCUCACCAAGGCGACGACGGGUAGCCGGCCUGAGAGGGCGACCGGCCACACUGGGACUGAGACACGGCCCAGACUCCUACGGGAGGCAGCAGUGGGGAAUAUUGCACAAUGGGCGAAAGCCUGAUGCAGCGACGCCGCGUGAGGGAUGACGGCCUUCGGGUUGUAAACCUCUUUCAGCAGGGAAGAAGCGAGAGUGACGGUACCUGCAGAAGAAGCGCCGGCUAACUACGUGCCAGCAGCCGCGGUAAUACGUAGGGCGCAAGCGUUGUCCGGAAUUAUUGGGCGUAAAGAGCUCGUAGGCGGCUUGUCACGUCGGUUGUGAAAGCCCGGGGCUUAACCCCGGGUCUGCAGUCGAUACGGGCAGGCUAGAGUUCGGUAGGGGAGAUCGGAAUUCCUGGUGUAGCGGUGAAAUGCGCAGAUAUCAGGAGGAACACCGGUGGCGAAGGCGGAUCUCUGGGCCGAUACUGACGCUGAGGAGCGAAAGCGUGGGGAGCGAACAGGAUUAGAUACCCUGGUAGUCCACGCCGUAAACGGUGGGCACUAUGUGUGGGCAACAUUCCACGUUGUCCGUGCCGCAGCUAACGCAUUAAGUG
rnacentral:rRNA from 1 species